UACGUAGGGGGCGAGCGUUGUCCGGAUUUACUGGGCGUAAAGAGCGCGCAGGCGGUCGUUCAAGUCGCGUGUGAAAGCCCCCGGCUCAACUGGGGAGGGUCACGCGAUACUGAUCGACUGGAAGGCAGGAGAGGGUAGUGGAAUUCCCGGUGUAGUGGUGAAAUGCGUAGAUAUCGGGAGGAACACCAGUGGCGAAGGCGACUACCUGGCCUGUUCUUGGCGCUGAGGCGCGAAAGCUAGGGGAGCAAACGGG
rnacentral:rRNA from 1 species